CCUCCUUUUCUUGGCAGGCUCAGGCCUUGCCAUGCCUGGCUCUGUAAUGACUGGAGGGAAAGGAAUGCCUGUCCAAUAUUAUGUCUUUGGUGCCAGUGGUUUGCCAUCUGCUGGUUCUGUCCUCAAGCACUGGGCCAAAG